rnacentral:rRNA from 1 species
UACAGAGGGGGCAAGCGUUGUCCGGAAUUACUGGGCGUACAGCGCGCGCAGGCGGUUGCCGACGUGCCGUGUGACAAGCGGGGGCUCAACCCCCGAGGGCCACGGUAAACGGGGCGACUGGAGGGGGGGAGAGGGAUGCGGAAUUCCAGGUGUAGCGGUGAAAUGCGUAGAUAUCUGGAGGAACACCGGUGGCGAAGGCGGCAUCCUGGACCAUGACUGACGCUGAGGAGCGAAAGCCAGGGGAGCAAACGGGG